rnacentral:rRNA from 1 species
UGUAUAAUGGGUCAGCGACUUAUAUUCUGUAGCAAGGUUAACCGAAUAGGGGAGCCGAAGGGAAACCGAGUCUUAACUGGGCGUUAAGUUGCAGGGUAUAGACCCGAAACCCGGUGAUCUAGCCAUGGGCAGGUUGAAGGUUGGGUAACACUAACUGGAGGACCGAACCGACUAAUGUUGAAAAAUUAGCGGAUGACUUGUGGCUGGGGGUGAAAGGCCAAUCAAACCGGGAGAUAGCUGGUUCUCCCCGAAAGCUAUUUAGGUAGCGCCUCGUGAAUUCAUCUCCGGGGGUAGAGCACUGUUUCGGCAAGGGGGUCAUCCCGACUUACCAACCCGAUGCAAACUGCGAAUACCGGAGAAUGUUAUCACGGGAGACACACGGCGGGUGCUAACGUCCGUCGUGAAGAGGGAAACAACCCAGACCGCCAGCUAAGGUCCCAAAGUCAUGGUUAAGUGGGAAACGAUGUGGGAAGGCCCAGACAGCCAGGAUGUUGGCUUAGAAGCAGCCAUCAUUUAAAGAAAGCGUAAUAGCUCACUGGUCGAGUCGGCCUGCGCGGAAGAUGUAACGGGGCUAAACCAUGCACCGAAGCUGCGGCAGCGACGCUUAUGCGUUGUUGGGUAGGGGAGCGUUCUGUAAGCCUGCGAAGGUGUGCUGUGAGGCAUGCUGGAGGUAUCAGAAGUGCGAAUGCUGACAUAAGUAACGAUAAAGCGGGUGAAAAGCCCGCUCGCCGGAAGACCAAGGGUUCCUGUCCAACGUUAAUCGGGGCAGGGUGAGUCGACCCCUAAGGCGAGGCCGAAAGGCGUAGUCGAUGGGAAACAGGUUAAUAUUCCUGUACUUGGUGUUACUGCGAAGGGGGGACGGAGAAGGCUAUGUUGGCCGGGCGACGGUUGUCCCGGUUUAAGCGUGUAGGCUGGUUUUCCAGGCAAAUCCGGAAAAUCAAGGCUGAGGCGUGAUGACGAGGCACUACGGUGCUGAAGCAACAAAUGCCCUGCUUCCAGGAAAAGCCUCUAAGCAUCAGGUAACAUCAAAUCGUACCCCAAACCGACACAGGUGGUCAGGUAGAGAAUACCAAGGCGCUUGAGAGAACUCGGGUGAAGGAACUAGGCAAAAUGGUGCCGUAACUUCGGGAGAAGGCACGCUGAUAUGUAGGUGAAGCGACUUGCUCGUGGAGCUGAAAUCAGUCGAAGAUACCAGCUGGCUGCAACUGUUUAUUAAAAACACAGCACUGUGCAAACACGAAAGUGGACGUAUACGGUGUGACGCCUGCCCGGUGCCGGAAGGUUAAUUGAUGGGGUUAGCGGUAACGCGAAGCUCUUGAUCGAAGCCCCGGUAAACGGCGGCCGUAACUAUAACGGUCCUAAGGUAGCGAAAUUCCUUGUCGGGUAAGUUCCGACCUGCACGAAUGGCGUAAUGAUGGCCAGGCUGUCUCCACCCGAGACUCAGUGAAAUUGAACUCGCUGUGAAGAUGCAGUGUACCCGCGGCAAGACGGAAAGACCCCGUGAACCUUUACUAUAGCUUGACACUGAACAUUGAGCCUUGAUGUGUAGGAUAGGUGGGAGGCUUUGAAGUGUGGACGCCAGUCUGCAUGGAGCCGGCCUUGAAAUACCACCCUUUAAUGUUUGAUGUUCUAACGUUGGCCCCUGAUCGGGGUUGCGGACAGUGUCUGGUGGGUAGUUUGACUGGGGCGGUCUCCUCCUAAAGAGUAACGGAGGAGCACGAAGGUUGGCUAAUCCUGGUCGGACAUCAGGAGGUUAGUGCAAUGGCAUAAGCCAGCUUGACUGCGAGCGUGACGGCGCGAGCAGGUGCGAAAGCAGGUCAUAGUGAUCCGGUGGUUCUGAAUGGAAGGGCCAUCGCUCAACGGAUAAAAGGUACUCCGGGGAUAACAGGCUGAUACCGCCCAAGAGUUCAUAUCGACGGCGGUGUUUGGCACCUCGAUGUCGGCUCAUCACAUCCUGGGGCUGAAGUAGGUCCCAAGGGUAUGGCUGUUCGCCAUUUAAAGUGGUACGCGAGCUGGGUUUAGAACGUCGUGAGACAGUUCGGUCCCUAUCUGCCGUGGGCGCUGGAGAACUGAGGGGGGCUGCUCCUAGUACGAGAGGACCGGAGUGGACGCAUCACUGGUGUUCGGGUUGUCAUGCCAAUGGCACUGCCCGGUAGCUAAAUGCGGAAGAGAUAAGUGCUGAAAGCAUCUAAGCACGAAACUUGCCCCGAGAUGAGUUCUCCCUGAGACUUUAAGUCUCCUGAAGGAACGUUGAAGACGACGACGUUGAUAGGCCGGGUGUGUAAGCGCAGCGAUGCGUUGAGCUAACCGGUACUAAUGAACCGUGAG